rnacentral:rRNA from 1 species
AUUGAACGCUGGCGGCAUGCUUUACACAUGCAAGUCGAACGGUAACAGGCCUUCGGGUGCUGACGAGUGGCGAACGGGUGAGUAAUGCAUCGGAACGUGCCCAAUCGUGGGGGAUAACGUAGCGAAAGUUACGCUAAUACCGCAUAAGCCCUGAGGGGGAAAGUGGGGGACCGCAAGGCCUCACGCGAAUGGAGCGGCCGAUGUCAGAUUAGCUAGUUGGUGGGGUAAAGGCUCACCAAGGCGACGAUCUGUAGCGGGUCUGAGAGGAUGAUCCGCCACACUGGGACUGAGACACGGCCCAGACUCCUACGGGAGGCAGCAGUGGGGAAUUUUGGACAAUGGGCGCAAGCCUGAUCCAGCCAUGCCGCGUGCGGGACGAAGGCCUC